CAAACGCAGAGAAAUUCGAAGGUACAUCAUGUGCCAUGCGUGUAUAUAUGAAGAAAAUAUACGUUUAGAUAAGUGGGUAAAACGCAUUGCAUGAAUACGUUGCACAUGCCGUACGCAGAAGAAUAAACGGGAGGUCAACGGCGUAACGACGCCACCCGCCAUUUUAAGGACGAACCUUUAAGGCUAUAACGCAUGGUAGAUGACUGUAAGAAUGAAGCCAGUGUAUAAAUGAAGUAUUGCCAGCUGGCACGUAAAAUGUAGCGCCAUGAGCAAUGCGAAUAUUCAACAACGUUUAUAGAAGAAAAAUUAAUAAUACACAAUAAAGAUUAGAAUUCAUAUUGAAAACAUCGAAAAUCUAUUUCCUGUUUAAAAAGAUUCUUUUUUUAUUACCAAAAGUUAAUCAAUAUCAUAGUUCAUCAUUUUAACCAAUAUACCUAAUUAUUUUAAAUUCGAAAACAGGAUUUGUUCACAUAAAUAAUAAUGAAAAAUAUGAAGAAUGUUUUUAUAAGUUCAAAAGUAUUAUGAACUUAUAAAAACAUUCUUCACAUUUUUCAGCAUUAUUUUCUGUAUUAUUGAUAUAGUAUCUUAAAACAAUUAUAAAUUUCAAAUGUGAAAAAAUAUAUAAUAUAAUUAUGAUGUAAUUAACUUACUAUAAUGUAAUUAUGAAUAGAGACCAUUUUCGAUCUUCAAUUCGAUAUUCUUUAUAAUUUUCUAAAACUCUUAAGAAAUAUUAUAAUAUAGUAAUAGCAAUAAAAAUUAUUGAAAUAAAUAA